AUUACACCCCCAUACACAGUUUUUACCCACGAGACAUUUUCUGGAAAAACAAAAUUUUGUAUGGCGGCCAUCUUGUUUUUCCGCCAUUUUGAUUUUUUUUCACCCACAAUAGAAUUUGACCAAGAUUUAAAUAGGUUUUGUGAAAAAAGAAUCGUUCCAGGUGCGAUAGUUUCGCCAGACUGUUGGGUGUCUCCCUGAUGCGGAGCAGUUUUCCAAGAUCUGGAAGUUUUCCCAUACUCACCGGGAGGUCCCGAUCACACCCCCCAUACAUCAUUUUGACCCCCCGACGCUCCUUCUGGGAGAACAAUUAUGUCAGUGAGUGAGUCAGUCAGUCAGUGGGUUUGUAGCUAUAUAUAAUAUAAUAACUAGAUGUCGCGUGGUUCGCUCGCAGCAAGCUGCUCGCGUGUCCUGUAUUAGUUCGAAGCUUUGUAUGGCGGCCAUUUUGUUUUUUUUUUACCGGCAAUUGGAUUCGACCAAGAUUUUAAUAGGUCUCAUGAAAACCAAAACGUUC